AAGAGAAUGGAGAAACCUAAAGGGAGCUGCUAACUACCCUUUAAAGCGGUUAAAUUCCGUUUUUCUCUUA
rnacentral:tRNA from 1 species